GACGAACGCUGGCGGCGUGCCUAAUACAUGCAAGUAGGACGCAGUUGCGAACGGGUGAGUAACGCGUAGGUAACUGCUUAUUAGAGGGGUAUAACUAUUGGAAACGAUAGCUAAUACCGCAUACUAGUAGAUGGACCUGCGUUGUAUUAGCUAGUAGGUAGGGUAAUGGGCUACCUAGGCAACGAUACAUAGCCGACCUGACAGGGUGAGAGGCCAGACUGGGCAUGAGACACGGACCAGAAGGCUACGGGAGGCAGCGGUAGGGAAGCUUGGGCAAUGGGGGGAACGCUGACAGCGCAACGGCGCAUGAGUGGAGAAGGUUUUCGGAUCGUAAAGCUCUGUUGUUAAGGAGGCGGUACUUAACCAGAAAGGGACGGCUAACUACGUGCCAGCCGCCGCGGUAAUAC
rnacentral:rRNA from 1 species